rnacentral:rRNA from 1 species
GACGAACGCUGGCGGCGUGCUUAACACAUGCAAGUUGAACGGAGCACUUAGAGUAGCAAUACAAUAAGUGCUUAGUAGCGGACGGGUGAGUAACGUGUGAGCAACCUACCUUUGUGAGGGGGACAACAGCUGGAAACGGCUGCUAAUACCGCAUGAGACCACGACCUCGAUUGAGGAUGUGGUAAAAGAUUUAUCGCACAAAGAUGGACUCGCAUCCCAUUAGCUAGUUGGUGAGGUAACGGCUCACCAAGGCGACGAUGGGUAGCCGACCUGAGAGGGUGAUCGGCCACACUGGAACUGAGACACGGUCCAGACUCCUACGGGUGGCAG